GAGUCUAUCAGUUUUAUUGGAGCUGCAGGGACAGACAGAGCGAAGCACACAUUCACACUGUCAAAACCAUGCAAAGAGAGAACGAAUCCAGCCUCUCUGACUCAGAGUAAGUACUUAUUAAAUUGAUCUGUUCAGUGUCAAUUUGAAUUCAGCGGUCCAGUAUUUAUUGGCUGGUUUAAUGGACAUCUUUAAACAUGAAAUAAAGAAACAGACCUGCUGCUGUCUUCGUCUGUCUCUGUGCAGGAAGCUGAGCGUCAGGCCUGACAGAGAGAUCCACACAAUGUUCCGCUCCACCGAGAUUUACUCUCCAACACGUCCUCCGAUCCUCAGCUGACCUCACCUGCUCUGUUUGCUGUCGGCUCCUCUGUGAUCGAGGCGUCAGGAAAAAGAGGAAGUGUGCGGCUGUGCAUGCAAGUGCAGAAAAGACACAAUGGUAAAUUCUGUUUUACACACACAAAUCUGAUGCAUAAUUUAAUACGGCAUUCAACCUUUUACUGUUGAACACAAAGUAGAAGAGCACAGGUGCGAUGAAUAAGGUUAAUUAGCUGCUUUUGAUCCAGACUCCAGGUGUUGUGGAUUCUGAGUCACUAACAGCAGAAGUGUUGUUUGUGUAAUUAUGACCACCUGUGUUGUUCUCACAAUGAAAGUUACUGUACUUAUUGUUUGAUUAGGUUUUUAGCUGCUGACCUUCAUGUGGAGUGACUGUAAGCAACAUCAUUUUCACUGAUGGUGUGAGGAUCAGUGCUACAGGUCUUUAACGGUCAUUUCACAGCUCACAUCCUUCCAACACCUGCUCACUACAGAACAAUGUAGUGCAUUUCUUACCUCACACCUCCAACAUUAUUAAGCAGCUCAGCUGUUUAUUGUUUUUUUUUGGAUCAAAGGCAUUUGCAUAAGUUAAAGAAUUUUGCAGUUAAUGAUGAAAACAAGUCUAUUUAGCAUAAAGCCAGUUUUAUAUGAAAAUGUUUUUCUCUGUCACAGGAUGCAGUUUUCCCCUCAAUCACCUUUCCUGUGCUAAAGACGCAUGAAUGACCGAUAUCAUCUCUCAGGACAGCGCUCUAUUCAACACCUCAAUCGCCCGACACACAACAUUAAACAGCAUGUACAUCAUAUAUGCAGCUGUAACUUUUGUGCAGUUAGUUACUGCUAUUACCCUUCCUGGAAACUGACAACAUACUGAGCGCCAAAGACCCCAAGUCCUUCUGAAAGAGUGUUAUAGACCAGCUGUUCUUCUUACAGAGGAACCCAGGA
rnacentral:lncRNA from 1 species